ensembl:miRNA
UGGCUCCUCGGCUGGUUGCAGAGCGCUGCUGGGCAGCCGGCAGAGGACUGGGAGGAAGCACUGUAGCUCGGG